rnacentral:lncRNA from 1 species
GACGCCGAACGGACAGUACCUCCCCUGUCCGCCCAAGGCUCCAACAACAAGUAUAUUACAAGCAAAUCAACAAGGAGAAUUGCAAGAUAUACAAGGUUUGCACGAGGGCAAACAACAACUACAAGUGAAAGCAUCGAAACUAACUAAACAUCCAAUAUACAUGUCAUUCGAUUUCAUUUGAAUCAAUCACAUUUACAUUCGUUACAUCAUUCUUGCAUUACCCAAAAUAGAAUUUACAUUAUCCCUAUAUUACAUCACUUUUCACUUUACAAUUUCAACAUACAAAA